rnacentral:tRNA from 1 species
GGGCGCUUAGCUCAGCGGUAGAGCAGAUGUCUUAUACACAUCGGGUCGUAGGUUCAAAUCCUACAGCGCCCACCA